rnacentral:rRNA from 1 species
GACGAACGCUGGCGGCGUGCCUAAUACAUGCAAGUCGAGCGAGCGGAACUAACAGAUUUACUUCGGUAAUGACGUUAGGAAAGCGAGCGGCGGAUGGGUGAGUAACACGUGGGGAACCUGCCCCAUAGUCUGGGAUACCACUUGGAAACAGGUGCUAAUACCGGAUAAGAAAGCAGAUCGCAUGAUCAGCUUUUAAAAGGCGGCGUAAGCUGUCGCUAUGGGAUGGCCCCGCGGUGCAUUAGCUAGUUGGUAAGGUAAAGGCUUACCAAGGCGAUGAUGCAUAGCCGAGUUGAGAGACUGAUCGGCCACAUUGGGACUGAGACACGGCCCAAACUCCUACGGGAGGCAGCAGUAGGGAAUCCUCCACAAUGGACGCAAGUCUGAUGGAGCAACGCCGCGUGAGUGAAGAAGGUUUUCGGAUCGUAAAGCUCUGUUGUUGGUGAAGAAGGAUAGAGGUAGUAACUGGCCUUUAUUUGACGGUAAUCAACCAGAAAGUCACGGCUAACUACGUGCCAGCAGCCGCGGUAAUACGUAGGUGGCAAGCGUUGUCCGGAUUUAUUGGGCGUAAAGCGAGCGCAGGCGGAAGAAUAAGUCUGAUGUGAAAGCCCUCGGCUUAACCGAGGAACUGCAUCGGAAACUGUUUUUCUUGAGUGCAGAAGAGGAGAGUGGAACUCCAUGUGUAGCGGUGGAAUGCGUAGAUAUAUGGAAGAACACCAGUGGCGAAGGCGGCUCUCUGGUCUGCAACUGACGCUGAGGCUCGAAAGCAUGGGUAGCGAACAGGAUUAGAUACCCUGGUAGUCCAUGCCGUAAACGAUGAGUGCUAAGUGUUGGGAGGUUUCCGCCUCUCAGUGCUGCAGCUAACGCAUUAAGCACUCCGCCUGGGGAGUACGACCGCAAGGUUGAAACUCAAAGGAAUUGACGGGGGCCCGCACAAGCGGUGGAGCAUGUGGUUUAAUUCGAAGCAACGCGAAGAACCUUACCAGGUCUUGACAUCUAGUGCCAUUUGUAGAGAUACAAAGUUCCCUUCGGGGACGCUAAGACAGGUGGUGCAUGGCUGUCGUCAGCUCGUGUCGUGAGAUGUUGGGUUAAGUCCCCCAACGAGCGCAACCCUUGUUAUUAGUUGCCAGCAUUAAGUUGGGCACUCUAAUGAGACUGCCGGUGACAAACCGGAGGAAGGUGGGGAUGACGUCAAGUCAUCAUGCCCCUUAUGACCUGGGCUACACACGUGCUACAAUGGGCAGUACAACGAGAAGCGAGCCUGCGAAGGCAAGCGAAUCUCUGAAAGCUGUUCUCAGUUCGGACUGCAGUCUGCAACUCGACUGCACGAAGCUGGAAUCGCUAGUAAUCGCGGAUCAGCACGCCGCGGUGAAUACGUUCCCGGGCCU